UAUGCUUAGCCCUAAACAUCGAUUAUUUACUACACCCUAGAUCCGCCCGGGAAUUACGAGCAUAAGUUUAAAACCCAAAGGACUUGGCGGUGCUUAACAUCCACCUAGAGGAGCCUGUUCUAGAACCGAUAACCCCCGUUCAACCUCACCCUCCCUUGCUUUUCCCGCCUAUAUACCACCGUCGUCAGCUUACCCUGUGAAGGUUUUAUAGUAAGCAAAGUUGGCACAGCCUAAAACGUCAGGUCGAGGUGUAGUGCAUGAGAGGGGAAGAAAUGGGCUACAUUCGCUACUUAUAGCGAAUUACGAAUGUUGCAUUGAAACAUGCAGCUGAAGGAGGAUUUAGCAGUAAGCAGAAAGCAGAGCGUCCCGCUGAAACUGGCCCUAAAGCGCGCACACACCGCCCGUCACCCUCCCCAAGCUUCCGGCCCUAAUUAACUAAAACCCUACAACUGCAAAGGAGAGGAAAGUCGUAACAUGGUAAGUGUAC
rnacentral:rRNA from 1 species